GACGAACGCUGGCGGCGUGCCUAAUACAUGCAAGUCGAGCGAGCGGCGGACGGGUGAGUAAUGUAUGGGGACUGCCCGAUAGAGGGGGAUAAGUAAUGGAAACGGUGGCUAAUACCGCAUACUAUCGGAUAACCCAUAUGGGAUUAGCUAGUAGGUGGGGUAAAGGCUCAACUAGGCGACGAUCGCUAGCUGGUCUGAGAGGAUGAUCAGCCACACUGGAACUGAGACACGGCCCAGACUCCUACGGAGGCAGCAGUGGGGAAUAUUGCACAAUGGGAGAAAGCCUGAUGCAGCCAUGCCGCGUGUAUGAAGAAGGCCUUAGGGUUGUAAAGUACUUUCAGCGGGGAGGCGUUACCCGCAGAAGAAGCACCGGCUAACUCCGUGCCAGCCGCCGCGGUAAUAC
rnacentral:rRNA from 1 species